rnacentral:rRNA from 1 species
GACGAACGCUGGCGGCGUGCCUAAUACAUGCAAGUUGAGCGAUGAAGAUUGGUGCUUGCACCAAUUUGAAGAGCAGCGAACGGGUGAGUAACGCGUGGGGAAUCUGCCUUUGAGCGGGGGACAACAUUUGGAAACGAAUGCUAAUACCGCAUAACAACUUUAAACAUAAGUUUUAAGUUUGAAAGAUGCAAUUGCAUCACUCAAAGAUGAUCCCGCGUUGUAUUAGCUAGUUGGUGAGGUAAAGGCUCACCAAGGCGAUGAUACAUAGCCGACCUGAGAGGGUGAUCGGCCACAUUGGGACUGAGACACGGCCCAAACUUCUACGGGAGGCAGCAGUAGGGAAUCUUCGGCAAUGGACGAAAGUCUGGCCGAGCAACGCCGCGUGAGUGAAGAAGGUUUUCGGAUCGUAAAACUCUGUUGGUAGAGAAGAACGUUGGUGAGAGUGGAAAGCUCAUCAAGUGACGGUAACUACCCAGAAAGGGACGGCUAACUACGUG